rnacentral:misc_RNA from 1 species
AAAGGAAGAAAUGAAGAAUUUUAGGGUUAGUAGAAGGAAAGAAAUUUUAAAAAUUAGGGUAGAAAUAAAUGUAAAAGAAAUAAAAGAGAUUAUAGUAAAAAUUAAUAAAGUUAAAAGUUGGUUUUUUGAAAGGAUAAAUAAAAUUGAUAAAUUAUUAGUUAGAUUUAUUAAGAAAUAAAGGGAGAAAAAUUAAAUUAAUAAAAUUAGAAAUGAAAAUGGA